UACGAAGGGGGCUAGCGUUGCUCGGAAUCACUGGGCGUAAAGCGCACGUAGGCGGAUUGUUAAGUCAGGGGUGAAAUCCUGGAGCUCAACUCCAGAACUGCCUUUGAUACUGGCGAUCUUGAGUCCGGGAGAGGUGAGUGGAACUGCGAGUGUAGAGGUGAAAUUCGUAGAUAUCGGGAGGAACACCGGUGGCGAAGGCGGCGGCCUGGGUUGACACUGACGCUGAGGCGCGAAAGCGUGGGGAGCAAACAGG
rnacentral:rRNA from 1 species